ACAUGCAAGUCGAACGGCAGCGGGGGCUUCGGCCUGCCGGCGAGUGGCGAACGGGUGAGUAAUGCAUCGGAACGUGCCCAUGUCGUGGGGGAUAACGUAUCGAAAGGUACGCUAAUACCGCAUACGUCCUGAGGGAGAAAGCGGGGGAUCGCAAGACCUCGCGCGAUUGGAGCGGCCGAUGUCGGAUUAGCUAGUAGGUGAGGUAAAGGCUCACCUAGGCGACGAUCCGUAGCGGGUCUGAGAGGAUGAUCCGCCACACUGGGACUGAGACACGGCCCAGACUCCUACGGGAGGCAGCAGUGGGGAAUUUUGGACAAUGGGGGCAACCCUGAUCCAGCCAUGCCGCGUGAGUGAAGAAGGCCUUCGGGUUGUAAAGCUCUUUCGGCCGGGAAGAAAUCGUGUUCUCUAACAUAGCACAUGGAUGACGU
rnacentral:rRNA from 1 species